rnacentral:rRNA from 1 species
GACGGAGGGAGCGAGCGUUGUUCGGAUUUAUUGGGCGUAAAGGGCAAGUAGGCGGCCCGCUAAGUCAGGUGUGAAAGCCCUCCGCUCAACGGAGGAAUUGCAUCCGAUACUGGCAGGCUUGAGGAGUGGAGAAGCGAGCGGAAUUCUCGGUGUAGCGGUGGAAUGUGUAGAUAUCGAGAAGAACUCCAGUGGCGAAGGCGGCUCGCUAGACACUUUCUGACGCUGAAUUGCGAAAGCCAGGGGAGCGAACGGGAUUAGAUACCCUCGUA